CCUACGGGGGGCAGCAGUAGGGAAUAUUGCUCAAUGGGGGAAACCCUGAAGCAGCAAAGCCGCGUGGAGGAUGAAGGUUUUAGGGUUGGAAACUCCUUUUGUUAGAGAAGAUAAUGACGGUAUGUAACGAAUAUGCACCGGCUAACUCCGUGCCAGCAGCCGCGGUAAUACGGAGGGUGCAAGCGUUACUCGGAAUCACUGGGCGUAAAGCGCGCGUAGGCGGGUUAUCAAGUCAGAUGUGAAAUCCUAUGGCUUAACCAUAGAACUGCAAUUGAAACUGUGAUUCCAGAGUAUGGGAGAGGUAGGUGGAAUUCUUGGUGUAGGGGUAAAAUCCGUAGAGAUCAAGAGGAAUACUCAUUGCGAAGGCGACCUGCUAGAACAUAACUGACGCUGAUGCGCGAAAGCGUGGGGAGCAAACAGGAUUAGAUACCCCUGUAGUC
rnacentral:rRNA from 1 species